GCCCCGAUAGCUCAGCUGGCCAGAGCGCCGCUCUUGUAAAGCGGAAGUCGUCGGUUCGAACCCGACUCGGGGCU
rnacentral:tRNA from 1 species